GUGCCAGCAGCCGCGGUAAAACGUAGGUACCGAGCGUUAUCCGGAUUUACUGGGCGUAAAGCGCGUUCAGGCGGCCGCGCAAGUCGGGCAUGAAAUCUCUCGGCUCAACCGGGAGAGGCUGUCCGAUACUGCGUGGCUUGAGGGCAGUAGAGGGUGGUGGAAUUCCGGGUGUAGUGGUGAAAUGCGUAGAGAUCCGGAGGAACACCAGUGGCGAAGGCGGCCACCUGGACUGCCCCUGACGCUGAAACGCGAAAGCUAGGGGAGCGAACGGGAUUAGAAACCCCCGUAGUCC
rnacentral:rRNA from 1 species